AUAUAAUUGAAAUUGGACUACUUUUUGAUUGUUAUGAUUGUUAUUAGAAAAGUAACAACAUAACCUCAUUUUAUUACACGGAUAAUCAAAACAAAAAUAUUAGUACUUGCAAAUUGAAGUAAAUUGUAGUAUUAUUUGUACUUUCGAACACUAUGAGAUUUCAAUGGCAAUAUAUAUAGAGAGGAUUUUUGUGAUGAAUAUUGGUUAUUCGAGGAAGUCAUUAUUUUAACCUAUUCGACGUGUUUUCGCACGACGUAUGUUUAUUGCUCUGAACAAAAUUUAUCGCCUUUAAGUUAUUGACCACAUCCGCGGACUUGAGAUUUGUCGGCGACUUUUUUCGAUGAUUCAACAAAACCAGGAUUAGAGCGUUGUUAAAUUCUCGAUUGUCGAGAGAGAGAGAGAGAGAGAAUGUGUGUAAUAAAAGCUAGAACUUCAAAAGCUAUAUUCACUGAAUGAUCUUUUAUGUAUAUCCGCCACUUCUAGAAUAGUUGAUGAGAUGUGAUUAAUAGUCAUGACAAUCCAUGAUAAUUAAACCUAAACCACUGCCGGAAACGCUAAUCAGUUAUCAAAAUACACCUAUCUAACAGCUCCUCAUGACAGAAAUGCAAUCUAAAAUCUCAGAAUUUUCACCGUCGGCGGAAAUUGUUAUUAUUCCCAAGAUUUCUAUAUUGCUCUCACUAAAGUGAAAAUUAUUCCUUUUGGCGGAGAAACACUUAUAUUCGUUCAAAAGUCAUGGGAAAUGUGAUUUUUUUUACAAAGAUGGUGAAGAAAAGGCACGAGGACAUAUAUCUACAACCAAUAUGAUGAUCUGCAUUACCAUAGUCUUCUAAUGAGUAAU